GAGGAAGCCCGGUGCGAAUCCGGCGCGGUCCCGCCACUGUGAGCCCGGCUACCGGCCGGGUGAGCCAGGAACUC
rnacentral:ncRNA from 2 species